UAAUAAAACAGAAUUAGUUAAAAUAAAUUCAUAGCAUUCCUACAUAGCAACUCAUCUACAUACUACCUUCAAACCUGAAAAAUGAAUAUUCAUCCUACUCUUUCACCUUCAAACCUCUUUGUAAAAGAAAAAAAACCAUCAAAUCUGAAAGCGAAAUCAUUCAUCCAGAUCUAAAAACCUUCAAGCCUUUAAUUAAAAAACAUACAUCUACUAACAAAAAAUCUCUAAAAAAUCUUAACAACAACAUGAUGAAAACAGAAACCAUAUUCAAAGCCAAUCCACUUGACUCAGUCUGCAACAUGUUCGUUUGACAAAGCACAGUCAGAAUCCGUGAUUUUCAAGCAAGUUGAUCUCUAGAUCUCAUAAGGUUUGUGCUGAUUUUCGUGUGCUGAUUUUGGAUGCAUGAGGAUUGUGUUUCUCAUUUAUUUUCCAAAAUGUUUUUUAAGAAAAUGGAAGAAGAUGUGAAGAUGGGUAUGAUGCAUUGGUACUUGAUAAAUGGUUGAGAGGAAGAGUUGAGGAAGAAGAUGAACAUUUAUGUUUGUUGAUGGGAUUUAAAAGUAAGAGAUAGAAUUUGUAAAGGAAACAAAGAAAGAAGAACAAUUAGAAAUCUCUAAUAUUUUUUUUCCACUUUUGUUUUGAAUUCUAUGUUUGGAUCCUUUGGCGAUGAAUGUUUAAUGAUAAAUUUUGGGUUUGAUUUUGCUUUAAUAUAUUGUGUUUUAUUUAGUUAUUAUUUUAGAAAUUUAAUUAAAAUAAAAGCAAAGUGGACAUUAAAAAAACAACAAAUUAUUAAAAUAUCAUAUUCAUAAUGCCAUGUCAUCACACUUAACAGAUAUAUAACAUUUUGGACCAAAUUGACUAACA
rnacentral:lncRNA from 1 species